GACGAACGCUGGCGGCGUGCCUAAUACAUGCAAGUCGAACGCAGUGGGGACGGGUGAGUAACACGUGGGUAACCUCCCAUCAGAGGGGAUAACACUUGGAAACAGGUGCUAAACCGAUACUGAUGGAUGGACCCGCGGUGCAUCGGCUAGUUGGGGAGGUAACGGCUCACCAAGGCCGCGAUGCAUAGCCUACCGUGGAGGGAGUUCUGCCACACUUGGACUGAGACACGGCCCAGACUCCUACGGGAGGCAGCAGUAGGGAAUCUUCGGCAAUGGCCGAAAGUCUGACCGAGCAACGCCGCGUGAGUGAAGAAGGUUUUCGGAUCGUAAAACGCUGUUGUGAGAGAAGCGGUAUCUAACCAGAAAGCCACGGCUAACUACGUGCCAGCAGCCGCGGUAAUUC
rnacentral:rRNA from 1 species